AUUGAACGCUGGCGGCAGGCCUAACACAUGCAAGUCGAACGAGUGGCGGACGGGUGAGUAAUGUCUGGGAAACUGCCCGAUGGAGGGGGAUAACUACUGGAAACGGUAGCUAAUACCGCCUACCAUCGGAUGUGCCCAGAUGGGAUUAGCUGGUAGGUGAGGUAACGGCUCACCUAGGCGACGAUCACUAGCGGGUCUGAGAGGCUGACCAGCCACACUGGAACUGAGACACGGUCCAGACUCCGACGGGAGGAAGCAGUGGGGAAUAUUGCACAGUGGGCGCAAGCCUGAUGCAGCCAUGCAGCGUGUAUGAAGAAGGCUUUCGGGUUGUAAAGUACUUUCAGCGGGGAGGCGUUACCCGCAGAAGAAGCACCGGCUAACUCCGUGCCAGCCGCCGCGGUAAUAC
rnacentral:rRNA from 1 species